rnacentral:rRNA from 1 species
GAUGAACGCUGGCGGCGUGCCUAAUACAUGCAAGUCGAGCGAACGGACGAGAAGCUUGCUUCUCUGAUGUUAGCGGCGGACGGGUGAGUAACACGUGGAUAACCUACUUAUAAGACUGGGAUCACUUCGGGAAACCGGAGCUAAUACCGGAUAAUAUUUUGCACCGCAUGGUUCAAAAGUGAAAGACGGUCUUGCUGUCACUUAUAGAUGGAUCCGCGCUGCAUUAGCUAGUUGGUAAGGUAACGGCUUACCAAGGCAACGAGGCAUAGCCGACCUGAGAGGGUGGUCGGCGACACUGGAGCGGAGACACCGUCCAGACGCCUACGGGAGGCAGCAGUAGGGAAUCUUCCGCAAUGGGCGAAAGCCUGACGGAGCAACGCCGCGUGAGUGAUGAAGGUCUUCGGAUCGUAAAACUCUGUUAUUAGGGAAGAACAUAUGUGUAAGUAACUGUGCACAUCUUGACGGUACCUAAUCAGAAAGCCACGGCUAACUACGUG